CUGCGAAUGUCAAAAACUCAAGGCGAAAAGUGUUGCCAGAUUGCAGUGGUGAAUUUGUGUGUUUUUGUUUUUCUCACAGUCUCUCUGAGGAAAACACUAAAAGGCUGAUUUCCUCGGAAAAACCUUUGUGAAAAUACCAAAUUUUCCUCAAAACUAGUCCAGUGAAUCUGUUCACGGUUAUGUCUGCUCCAUCUGUCUACGGUCGUGGAAUUGUGGGGCUCUUCCGGCAGGGCUGCCAUGAAAUACCUGAAGUAAUGGGUAGCUGCGCUCUUGGCCUUCUUGGGAUUGCUAUAGGAACAGUUGCCCUGCACCGAUACAAUAAGAGAGAUGGCGAUAAUCGUAGAUACAAAUUGGACUACGUUAUUAUGCGCUCUGAUGAUCCCCGGGCAGCUAGAGUACACAAAGAUUGAUCACAUAGAAUCAGCAAUUGUUUACUCUUCUAGAUGAUUAUUAUAAAUGCAGUGAUCUGUACAAAAAAUU